ACGUACUAUGACAUACUAGUCAGAUGAGUCUGGUGGCACUUGGGGCCAGAGGGGACAUGUGUGGGCUGUCCUUUGGGGAGACUGGUCACACAAUAGAUGGCCCUGGAAGAGAUGACCCAGCUGUAAGAGGUAGGGCAGCCCAGCUCCAGAGGGAACUUGUCCCACAUCUGAGAGAAGCCACGAGAGACCCAAAGAAGCAGAACCUAACUCUGGAUCUAUAAGAAACUGAAAAGGGCGAAGCUCAGCUGCUGGGGGGCUUAGCCGAGGAUCCUCACAAGGACGGAGGCAGGCGAGAAUGGGACUCCAGCCCUGGGAACGAAUCCCCUCGAAGCUUCUCCCAGCACGCUCUCCCCACGCAGCUGUGGCAGAUGUGCAGCGUGCAUUCCAGGGUUGACGACUCGGCUGCCCUCGGGGAAGUGGAAACUGCUCGCCUCGCCCAUUCCGAAAGCAUCCAAAUAAUAAACCUCC
rnacentral:lncRNA from 1 species